AUCAUACUCCCUCCGUUCGGAAUUACUUGUCUCAAAAAUGGAUGUAUCUAGAACUAAAAUACGUCUAGAUACAUCCAUUUCUGCGACAAGUAAUUCCGAACGGAGGGAGUAUAUG
rnacentral:pre_miRNA from 1 species